GGGGCGUCGUCUAAUGGCAGGACACCGGGUUUUGGUCCCGGCAGUUGGGGUUCGAAUCCCUGCGCCCCAGCA
rnacentral:tRNA from 1 species